AGGACGAACGCUGGCGGCGUGCCUAACACAUGCAAGUCGAACGAGGUCCAACCGGUGGCAACACUGGUGAAGACCGAGUGGCGAACGGGUGAGUAACACGUGAGCAACCUGCCUCGAAGACUGGGAUAACCCCGGGAAACCGGAGCUAAUACCGGAUACCCCCACCGGGUCGCAUGGCCUGGUGAGGAAAUGGAUUCCGCUUUGAGAGGGGCUCGCGGCCUAUCAGCUUGAUGGUGGGUAAUGGCCUACCAUGGCACCGACGGGUAGCUGGUCUGAGAGGACGAUCAGCCACACUGGGACUGAGACACGGCCCAGACUCCUACGGGAGGCAGCAGUGGGGAAUCUUGCGCAAUGGGCGAAAGCCUGACGCAGCAACGCCGCGUGUGGGACGAAGGCCUUCUGGGUUGUAAACCACUUUCAGCAGGGACGAUUGUGACGGUACCUGCAGAAGAAGCCCGGCCAACUACGCGCCAGCAGCCGCGGU
rnacentral:rRNA from 1 species